GGCCUCGUAGCUAAGCUGGAAAGGCAUGCGCAUACAAAGCAUAGGCGGCAUCCAUGCGUAGGUUCGAAUCCCACCGAGGCUA
rnacentral:tRNA from 1 species